UACGGAGGGUGCAAGCGUUACUCGGAUUUAUUGGGCGUAAAGGGCAGGUAGGUGGUCUUAUUUGUCUGAGGUGAAAGCCUUGAGCUUAACUCAAGAAGUGCCUCAGAAACGGUAAGACUAGGGUUCUAGAGAGGGUCGUGGAAUUCCCGGUGUAGCGGUGAAAUGCGUAGAGAUCGGGAGGAACACCAGAGGCGAAGGCGGCGACCUGGAUAGAUACUGACACUAAACUGCGAAAGCGUGGGGAGCAAACAGG
rnacentral:rRNA from 1 species